GCUUGGUAGGUAGGUCCGUAGGUCGCUUGGAAGGUAGGUCGGUAGGUAGGUAGGUCAGUUGGUAGGUACGUUGGUCGCUUGGUAGGUAGGUCGCUUGGUAGGUAGGUUGGUAGGUACGUAGGCCGGUAGGUAGGUACGUAUGUCGAUUGGUAGGUCGGUAGGUUGCUUGGUAGGUAGGUACGUAGGUCGGUAGGUAGGUACGUAGGUCGCUUGGUAGGUCGAUACGUAGGUCGCUUGGUAGGUCGGUAGGUCACUUGGUAAGUAGGUCGGUACGUCGCUUGGAAGGUACGUAGGUCGGUAGGUAGGUACAUAGGUCGCUUGGUAGGUAGGUACAUAGGUUGCUUGGUUAAGGUAGGUCGGUAGGUACAGUAGUUCAGUAGAUCGCUUGGUAGGUACGUAGGUCUGUAAGUAGGUACGUCAGUCGCUUGGAAGGUAGGUCGGUCGCUUGGUAGGUCGGUAGGUAGGUACUUAAGUCGCUUGGUAGGUAGGUCAGUAGGUACAUAGGUCACUUGGAAGGUAGGUCGGCAGGUAUGCAGGUCGCUUGGUAGGUAUGAAGGUCGCUCGGUUGGUAUGUAGGUCAGUAGGUAGGUACAAAACAACCUAUGUACCCACU
rnacentral:sRNA from 1 species